AUGGGUAAAAAAUUCAAUUUUGUAUUAAUUUAUCUAUGAUAUUUAUCUUUGACGUAAUUAAUCAUCAAAGAGAGGUUAUUUGAAAGAAUUUUAUUAUCUGUUAUCGACUUAACUGAAUUUGUAUUUAUAUAUUGAACUCUCGCAAACAGAAUAAAUCGACAUUUUGAAUAACCGGCAAUUUCAGGGUAGCAGUGUAGUGUUUGGUAUACUUAGGUUAGAAUAGCUAUUUUCAUAAUUAAAAAUAUUCGUGGUAAAUCUGAAUGUCAUGUGAUUAGUACGACAUUUUUCGAUAUUAAUAGUGAUUAAUAUUCGAAUGAAAGUUUAUUGAUCUAAAAUAUAUUUUUUGUGGCGAUAUAGUAUAUGUCGAAGGUUGUCAAAAUAUCUAUCAACUGUUCUUCUGUCAAAUGAUUUUUAUACGACUUUGAUAAAAAAAGAUAAAUAAUUUAAAUUGCAACAAUAUUAAUAAUAUUUCAUGCAUUGAAAAUGGCCGCGAGUGAACCAGGUGUAUCAUUACUUUCUAGAGAAGAUAAUAAGUGGAGAAAAGAUUUAAUUUUUCAAUUACAAGAAAGGAACAAGAGACAAACAUAUUGUUUUGCAGAUCUUAUUAGUUUACAUAAUAGAUUGUUUGAAAGUGCAAAUACAUUACGUGGAGAAAAUAUUCAGUUAACUAUAGCAAAUGAAACUCUCCGUCGUGAAGCAGCAAGUGGGACUCCUGGUUUAAGUGUAAAUGCUGAUCUUGAAGCUCGACUUCUAAAGCAAGCAGAAGAAUUAGCAACAUUACAUAAAAGAAAAGGAGAACAUACACAACAAAUAGUAGAUCUCAAUAAUAAAUUACAAGAAAUGAUGAAAGAACUUCAAGUUAAGGAAACAAAUCUUGCAGAAAGUAUAGAGCUUAAUACAAAUUUACGUUUAGAAAUAUCUAAAUGCCUUAACAAAGAGAAGGAAUUGGAAAGCAUUAAUCAAAUGUUAAAAGAUGAGCAUCAAGCUUUGCAACUUGCUUUUGCAUCUUUAGAAGAAAAGCUUAGAAAAACACAGGAAGAAAAUCGUCAAUUAAUAGAACGUUUGAUUAAAUACAAAACUCGAGAUGCAGAAAAAGUGAAUGAAGAAAAUGACAACUUUUUGAAUGAGAGUUUUUCCAGUCCGACAGCCUUUUUGAUGCAUACCAUUUCAAAAUUUGGAAAAAGGCAAGCAAAGGUUCAAAAAGAAUUAGAAGAUGCUGCACGUGACACACGACCAGUUAGUCCUGAUAGAUCGAGUUUAAAAGAAGGAAUCGCUGGUCUUCCUACUGCGGUACCGACGAAAGUAUCCGUCACGUUUACUGCACACGACGGAGAAGUUUAUGCCGUAAAAUGGUCUCCCGUCGAGAGGAUGCUUGCCACCGGUGGUGCUGACAGGAAGGUGAAGCUUUGGAAUAUCUCAAAAGGUGCUUCAGAGAGCAAAGGUAUUCUCGUUGGUAGCAAUGCUGGAGUGAUGUGCGUCGAUUUCGAUUCUACAGGAACAUUGAUCCUUGGAGCAUCGAAUGACUACGCCAGCCGAGUAUGGACUGUCAGUGACUUCCGAUUAAAGGUAAGUGAUCCAUUUAUUUUGACGAGGAGGGCCGGAGUUCGCCUUCAUCCUUGGAAACACGUAAGCGAUGCAUUUAUUUUACGAGAAUUAUCAAGACGCGCAUCCUUGAAAACACGUAAGAAUUUAUAUCCCUAUUUGCUUGCAACAGUAGUCCACACUCUAACGGGCCACUGCGGGAAGGUGAUGGCUGCGAAGUUUCUUGGCGAGCCUUCAAAAGUAGUUACUGGCAGUUACGAUCGUACCCUAAAAAUUUGGGACCUGCGUAGCAAAGCGUGUAUAGAAACAAAGUUUGCGGGUUCGAGUUGCAACGAUCUUGUAACUUCAGAUGGUGCGGGCUCUACAAUAAUUAGCGGCCAUUUUGACCAUAGAAUUAGAUUUUGGGAUACAAGAGCCGAAUCCAGCUCAAAUGACAUUUUAUUGGAAGGAAAGGUCACUUCGCUGGAUUUAUCUCGUGAUGCAAAUUACCUUCUGAGCUGUGUCAGAGAUGAUACAUUGAAACUCAUCGAUCUGCGGAUGAAGAAGAUCAUUGGAUCAUUUAGCGCCGAUGGGUUUAAAGUCGGUUUCGACUGGACACGAGCUACUUUUAGUCCAGAUGGUCAGUACAUAGCGGUUGGUUCUUCAGACGGGUCCGUUUUCAUUUGGUCUGUCGCCACUAACACGAUUGAGACUGUGUUGAAAAACCAUUCAGCUGUGGUGACAGCAGUUUCUUGGCAUCCGCACGGCACCUAUUUCGCAUCUGUGGACCGUGCAAAAACGGUGACAAUAUGGGGCGACCAUGUUUAACAGGACAAACAAUCCCAGGAUAGACGAUUGUUUCGCGUAACGAAGGUCAGCUUGUUCUUUCGUUUCGAGAAUGAACUUUCGUCGAAUCGAGAAAUGUAAAAUCCCCGACCGUGGCGCGCAGCUCCAUAGAAGGAGAGAGAGAGAGAGAGAGA
rnacentral:misc_RNA from 1 species